UGGGGAAUUUUGGACAAUGGGCGAAAGCCUGAUCCAGCCAUGCCGCGUGAGUGAAGAAGGCCUUCGGGUUGUAAAGCUCUUUUAGUCGGAAAGAAAGAGUCGCAAUGAAUAAUUGUGAUUUAUGACGGUACCGACAGAAAAAGCACCGGCUAACUACGUGUCAGCAGCCGCGGUAAUACGUAGGGUGCGAGCGUUAAUCGGAAUUACUGGGCGUAAAGGGUGCGCAGGCGGUUUUGCAAGUCAGAUGUGAAAGCCCCGGGCUUAACCUGGGAAUUGCGUUUGAAACUACAAGGCUAGAGUGCAGCAGAGGGGAGUGGAAUUCCAUGUGUAGCAGUGAAAUGCGUAGAGAUGUGGAAGAACACCGAUGGCGAAGGCAGCUCCCUGGGUUGACACUGACGCUCAUGCACGAAAGCGUGGGGAGCAAACA
rnacentral:rRNA from 1 species